rnacentral:rRNA from 1 species
UAUAAUUUAAAGUAGGGCCUGCCCACUGAGUAAUUGAAGGGCCGCAGUAUUUUGACUGUGCAAAGGUAGCAUAAUCAUUAGUUUUUUAAUUGAAAGCUUGUAUGAAUGGUUUGAUGAGAAAAUAUCUUUCUAUACUUAAUUUUUUAAGAACUUUAUUUUUAAGUAAAAAAGCUUAAAUUUUUUUAAUAGACGAGAAGACCCUAUAGAGUUUAAUUUUUAAAUAAAUUUUAAUUUUAAGAAUUUUAUAAUUAAUAUUUAAAUAAAAAUUUGAUUGGGGUGAUUGAAAAAUUAAAGAAACUUUUUUUAUAUAAAUACAUAAAUUUAUG